GGCACACAGAUUAGUGGAUUAGAGAAUCUUUCAUGUUGCAUGUUCUUAGAAAGCAGGGGGAAAGAAAAUCAACAAAUCCCGAUUUUGGGUUGGGUUCGGGCAUGAUCAGCAAGGAGACAUUGACCUUACGUUGAGCCACUGAUUUAGAGCUCUGAUUCCAGAUGAUGUUAUCUACUAUAACCUGCAACACUGAACAGACACUGAUGUUAUCUUGCAUCAUAGAUCUGCAUAUGGCAGAUGUGUUGGUCACAGUGUUAAAACAUCAGAUAUAAAAGUCAUUUUGAACAAGAGUUUAUUUUCUUCUCAUAUCAAAUGCUUGUAAAAUUUAAUCUAUUUAAUGAAUUUGACUUCACCUCCUUCUUCCCAGACAAUGUAAAGACCAGAGUUUAAAUCUGGACCAACAUAAAGCAUGCAGGGAGUUCCUGCUGUAGCGGCCCAGCUGUGUUGUUUGGGGAUCGAGAGGCGCAUCCAUCCAUUGCUUGUAAGCUUUGAGCAAACCACCAAACAUUACCUUGCACUUAUGCGAAGUCAGUUCACACACAAGAUAAACAUUAUAAGGAAAGUCUAUAAUCUGAGAGCCACAAGUCACCCAUCAAGAAGUCACUCUCCUUUUCAUAGAAUGGACCUAUUUUUGAAUUUUUGCUCCUUCUCUAAACCUUAGUGACUCAUGUGUUUUAUUUAUACAGAAACGUGUGCAAUGAUAGUCCCUGCACCAAUUUCAGAUACUAAAAAUAUGUAAACCAUGAGCCGGGUAUAGUUUUACUUAAAAAACAUAAAAACCUCCCGUGGUCUUAAGAGAUGGGGUGAUCUAGACCCCAUGAGUUCUUUACUCUGUGGGGUCGCGCUGACACAAGUGUGUGCUUUUACGAGUUAGAUUUUUUUUGUGUGGUUUCGGUAACUGACGAUUUGACGGGACAAUCCCCAACCACCUCCCCGCGACAUCUGUCGCGCUCCUCCUGAGCGUCAUGUUAAGACCGCGGGAAGGUUAAUACACAGCUGUAAUGGAAAGAAAACAAAAAAGGAUACAGUCACAGAAAACAAAAAUCUUAUUUGAUCAUCCAUCCUAAUCCUUCUUGUGGCAUUGGUUUCACAAAGCAUGUUUAACAAGAUUGUUUUUCCUUUUUUACAAGACUGCUUAACUGUUUAAGUGUGGUUUGUGGGAAACAAAUUCACUUGGAUUUUCUCUAGGUUAUUGCAACAUCUGCUGAACUCCCUUUUUUUUUUUGUUCUUUUUCAAUGUGUAAAAAACAAAGCUGAAAUAAGCUCUAGGCCCUAAAAAGGAUGAAUCUUUUUUUGGGCUUUUGCGGUCGAGUCCAGUUUGUUCAGAGUCAAACUGGACUCACCUUCACCAAGUUUAGUUUAUAGUUUAUUUGAUCUAAAACACACAGAGACACGCAUAAUAAUAAAGGUUGUUAGACAAUCAACAUUCCAAGUACAAUCACGGAAAUUCAAAAUAAAGUCAAAUAAAAAUAAUUCAUAAGUGUUAUAUAGAUCGGGUGUAGGCUGAAGCUAUACGUGCUCUUUUUACACAUUUGUUACAAAUAGAUCAUUUUCACUCGUCACAGCUUUAGUGUAAUAAAUAUUUACUGAAUACACAGGAUCAACAAUUAGAUCCAGACAAGAAAAGU